CAAGGGUUGGGCUGUUCGCCCAUUAAAGCGGCACGCGAGCUGGGUUCAGACCGUCGUGAGACAGGUCGGUCCCUAUCUACUGAGGGCGUCGAAGACUUGAGCGGAGCUGCUUCCAGUACGAGAGGACCGAAGUGGACGGACCGCUAGUGUGCCAGUUGUGCCGUCAGGCGCAUCGCUGGGUAGCUAUGUCCGGAAGGGAUGAGCGCUGAAAGCAUCUAAGCGCCAAGCCCCCCGCAAGAUCGGGUCUUCCUCAUGGGUCGUUCGAGACGAGGACGUGGAUAGGCUGCAGGUGUAAGCGUAGCAAUACGUUCAGCCGAGCAGUACUAAUUACCCAUAAGGCUUAACACCC
rnacentral:rRNA from 1 species